UAUGACGACGUCAUAUUUGUUCUAAUUGUCUCACAGUUAUUCUUUAGCUCAGUUUCUACUUCUUUCUUGGUCUAUGAAUCAUUUUAUUUUGCUCAAAGUGAUUCAAAUUUAUAUUUUAUCAUUUCAUAGAGUUCCUCAUAAUUUUUGGGAUAAUAAUAUAUCACCCUUAUAUUUUUAUCUUAACUCUAUGAGGUAAAUCAUUCAGUGUCUAAAUCAAUUCGUACCGAUUUUAAAAAAAUAUAUAUCUUCUCAAAAUAUAAUUAGAAAAUAUCUCACCAUCCUUAUCCCUCCAUCCACCUCAUCCUCGACUCACUCUCAUUUCUCUCUUCCUCACUAUUUCUUUUUCUUCCUUCACGUUUUCUUUCUUUCUUCAGCAGACCCAUUUCUGCUCUUUCUUCCUUUCUUCUCCUUUUCUUCUUCUUUUCUUUCUUUGUUACCUACUUUAUCUCCUUCUUUUAUUUGCUGCAACAACUCCCCACCGUUCCUCUUUCUCUUUUGAUCAGCAUCUCCACAUCCUUUUCUUCUCCAUGGACAACCAGUCCAUGAGCCACCACCUCUACUCUCCCUCUUGCAACCGCUGAUCACACCAUCACUAUCACCAUGAUUCUUCUCCUUUCUAACUUGCAGCAACAAACAUGGCACCACCACCAAUAUGAAAGCCACACACACCCCUUCUCAUCACAUAUUUGCUCCAUCUUCUAACCACCACCGUUCCUUGCUCUCCAUGGAGCCUAACAAUCCACCAUCUUUGUUCUCCUUCUUCUGGUUUUGAAUGGAGACCCCCAUGAAAGGACCCAAGCACCACCACCGUGAGCUCCACCACGCAGAGGACGCCACCGGCACAUCAUCUUCUCAUUUUCCUUGGUAAAAGCCUUAAUUUCUUGAUUAGUAUGUUUGUAUAUUUGAUUUCUAAAUUUAUCUGGGGUUUAGAUGAAUCAAAAUGGUUUGAGAUAGUGUUAUGGUGCUGAGAACAUGUUGGAAAUUUCAAAACCACGUUCUGUUAUGAAGUCCGUCACAAACAUCAGUUUUUCCGUCACAAAGCUCUGUUUUUCCGUCACUAACAGAACCUGCAGGGGACAAUUCCCUGUUUCGGUUCUCCAACUUGAAAAUUGCAUAACUCUCUCAUCUUUUAUCCGUUUUAGGUGUAUGACCACUUUUUAGAAAGCCCCAAGAGUCUACUUUAAUAUAAAACAUAUUUGAAACUCUUUCUACUGCUAAUUGGCUGAAGAAAAUAUAUAUUUCUAAUGUAAUAUGUUUUACUAAUCUCUUUACGAAGGUUGAGUGGUUGAGUAGAGUUUUAUGUUAAUGUAUUAAGUUUUCUAAAAAGUUUUUUCCUUUGAGUUAAGUGGUUUUGGGGGUUUUAAGGAUUUUGUUUUAAGCCUUAAUGUGCUUGAAAAGCUUUUGCGAAAACUCACAUAAAACUGUUGUUGUUUUCAAAAGUAGUAGCCGCUGUUCUGUUAAAAUCGUAUGUUUCGGUUAAUAUUUUCGAACUGUGUUCUUCAUAAAAGUUGUAGCUUUUUCUGUGAGCAAACUUUUGCCACUGGUUUCGUUUCGUUUCGAUUUGUCUAGCUCAAGUUAUACGCAUUUUGGUGAGCACGGGUUAAGCUGUCCCGUUUCUCACGAACUGCUGUAGUAUUCGAUUUUUCCUGAAUUUUGUACUUUGAAUUUAGACUUGAAAAUUUAUGAGGAUUUACAAAACCUGUAGAUGAAGCCAGGAUAAAAAUAUUAGAUUUUUCGGAGUUCAUUUGACGUAUUUAACAAUUAGCUAAAGUUGCUGUACAGUUUAUAAUCGUUUGACAAAAUUAGUUAUUUCAAGUGAAAAGAAUUGCUUUGGGAAAAAGAUGAGAAAACCUUUUAUUUUAAUCGAUAUUGCAAUGCGUUGGAGUAGGAAGACAUAUUUUUAAACUUACUUACGUACGUUGUUUAUCCGUUUAUGAAAAUAGAGAACGUUUGAGUUCACACACAUUUAUUCGUUAAAAAGCGAUUGCGAAAAGUUUUGAAAGUCGAACAAGUUGUCGGAGUGUUAGGGAAUAAGUGUAUUGAUACUAUCUCGCUAGUCGAUGGAUGCUUAGGAAUAACAAGAUUGGAUAGAGUUAGAGCAAUUAAGUUUGGAUUUCCGAGUGAGGAAUUAGACUCCGAAAGGUAUUAAUUAGAAUAGAUUAAGUUAUGUUUGCAAUCUUGAUGUUGGAAGAUGACUUAGGAUUGAAUCUUGAAUUCCAAGAAGUCUAUGAGCUUUACUAUAAAUACUUGGUUCUAGAAGGUCUAGAUUUGAAACUUUGGAAGUUCAAGGACUUAGAAGUGAUUAAGGGAUUGAUUGAGGACUAGAAGUUAUUUCUUAGAGAUUGAUGACUUAUCUAUAAGUUGGGAUUUUUGUAGAACCAAAGUGGAGUUUCGAAGAGACUAGGGUUGUGUGUCUAAUGAGAUAUCGCGAGUUUAAGUUUAAGAGAAAUGAUUCGAUCGUUUUGAAGGAGCUUAUGAGUCAUGAAUAAGUACAUAAUCAUUAGAUAAGAAGAGUUGGUUGCCUUGGAAGUUAACUAUGGUUUAUGGAUUACUUGAUAAGAGUUAGUGGUUUUGAUAAGAAUUGAUAAUGAUACAACGUUGGCUUGAGGAAUAGAUCGUGAGAGCGAGUUGAGACAUUAAGUUGUUGUAGGUGACUUGAUAAGUAAGUAUUGAGGAUAAAGAGGAUUAUGGAAUAGAAAACGGGAAGAGAUUACUUAAGGAGGAUGAUAGGAGAAUGCUAUUGCAGAUGUUGUGUUAAUUGCUUUAACGGGAAGUGGUGUGUAGUAUUGCGAAAAUACCUCAAUGAGUAUCCUAUUAGAGACUGAGAUCUCUAAGGAAAAUGAGAGGAGUAAGUACUAGUAAUGUGUACUUAUCUAUUUUGACAAGCAUAUGAGUAUUUGGUUUUAAAGUUGAUUUACUAAGUCAUAAGAUUUUGAAGCUUUGUUAUUGCUUUGUUGUCAUUAUGAUGACUUAUCUUAAUUUCUGAGGUUGAUCUUGAUGGUUUAUAACCAUUAAGGAGAUUGAGUUUAACUUGUGAUUUCGUCGAGUCAAUUGCUUGAGAGUGUAGCUUUAGACUUGGAAAGUAGGUAGCUCAAUUAGUGAUUAUGUUAUGUGUACUUAUGAAGGGUAUGAAUAACGGAAGCGCUUGACGACGAAGCCAAAGAACAGACGGAAGUGAGCCAACACGGGAAAGCAAAGAUAUGACUGGAUUUGAUUUGAGUCGCAACUUAGUAAGGAAAGCGCCUAAGACGACGAAAGGAGGUGAUGUGAGCAGAUGCUACUCCACUUGGAAGAUCUAUAGAAGACUCGAAGAAUAGAGUCGGGUGUAGGGCUAGAGCCUUUGGGUAGAAAAGAUUACCGUUAUUGGUUUAAGCUUGCAGGAUCAUUUUAUGAUUUGUAUUUAAGGUUUCGGGUAGGUUCCGGUGCAUUGCUUUCCUAUGGUUACUCAGUGUGGAAAUCAUAGGGAGUAUAUCGGAUUUAUGGAGUCAUUGCAUAGUGAGUCCGUUGUUGGAUCUUAGUUUAUUUGUCAUGUACUCUAUGCUGUGCCUUGAUCGAGGCCAGAUGUAAAUUAUUUACGGUUGGGAGUAUGCAUUACAUAUUUUAGAAA